AGAAGUCACAUUCUAUUUGGUUGGAGGCUGGGCUACUGUGUCGGGCUGCUACGUAACAGAAGACUUUCGUCACCACACCGAGAAAAUAUAAGCAGAGAGGACGGAUGACGUUCAGAUCACCACACAGCGUUGGGGGAGAAAAUGGCUGACUUCAGAGACUAAGAACUCAGACCCUCCAACCUGAAGAUCAAAAGACAGUGUGGAAAACAAUGGAGGUGACACAACAUUCAAGCAAGGGACACAGGGCAGAAGCAUCAGUAUGUUGAUUAACCUCUGUGGGAUCAAAAGGCACCAUCCCCACCUUCAGAGUGAUCAAGAGAAACUGUAAAUCUAGCAGAAAUCCAAAGUUGGCAAUAAACCAGUAAAUAUUUUCUUAAAUACAACUUACGUCUCCAAUCGGAACAAAGUCCUUCAGACAGAUGAUGUCCGUGUGAGCCAAGUUUUGUUAUCAAACCAUUUUAUGAAGUCUCAUAACUAUAAAAUCAUUGCAAGAACUCAAGGUUAUGGUGUCUCAGCACCGACAAAGUUUAUGUCCUCUUUGAUGGAAUUGUUUAAUGAUAUCCUUCAGCUGCGUGUCAGAUCACAAGUAACAGCUGGAGAGAAAUGUCCUGUUUGGGAUUAAAAAAAACUUGCUUCGAAAGGAACAGUUUGCAGAAAUGACAUACAAGAUGGCAAAGCAUAAUGUGAGGGCUCAUGGGAUUGUACCGAGAAUACUCCUAAACGAUUCCUCCAUUUUGAAUCUAUGCGAGACGACUGAUUUCAUGUGGUCAAGCCAGAAUGAGCAUCCAGUUUUUCAUAGCAGCUGCUCAUAUACGUCAAGGAUGUCUGUCUGGCAGUCACAGCUUUCCCACGAGUGGUGUUGGCUAUGUGUGGCAGUGCGGCAGAGCCUGGCUACUUGCUUCAGCACCCAACCUAACCAAAGUUCCGAGAGAAGCUGUGCCUUCCCCAAAGACAAGAUUCCAAAGUCAAUGGGCAGAAGCCAGUUUUCCAUCACUGUGACUGAAUAGGUGAGACGUCAACUCAGUAAGAGAAAGGUUUCAUUUCCCCUCACAGUUCAGGGCUUUCGGUUUAUGGCUGUUGCGUCCGGUUGCAUUAGUUCUGGGGUCGUACCAUCAGGAACUUGUAGUGGAGCCAAGGCUCUCUACCACAAUGGCUAAAAAGCCGGAGUCCCAUAAUUCCCUUUGAGGACACACCCUCCCUAAACUAAGACCGCCCACUAGAUGCCACAACUUAAAGGUCCCACCACCUCACAAUAGCCCGGCUCAAACUCCGGUGCUAGGCAAAGACUCCAGAGAACUACACUCCCUUUACAUCCCCUAUACAGCAGUCCUCAAACCGAAGAUUCAUUCUCAGUUCUUGAGCUACUUAUACUUUGAGAGACAUGAAGGGAGUCAGAAUCUUCCAGGGGCAUGGUCCCCGUCUGGCUCACUUCAGGCUCCCAAUUUUCAGAGUGAGUAGACCAAGCCUGGUCCCUGGAGCUUUAAAUCAUUGUGUCUCCUCGAUUCCCUCCCCGCCCCCUCCCACCGCCCCUUCAUUCUAAUCUCCAUCAGUCUGCAUCUAUUUUCUAUUUGAUGUUAAACGCAUGUGUGUAUGUUCUGUGACACAGGAAGUACCUUACAGAUGUUCAUUCUUGGUGUAAGAGGCAGAUGUGAACUGAAGUUUCUGAAGAAGCUUCCUCUAAAUUAAAACAAACAAACAAAAACCCUGCAGUCUGGCUUAGAACAGAUGAAAUGCUGUAGAUUGGAAUCCAAAAUUCUGUUGAUCCUAUUAUAGACCCUGUAACAACCUAACAAGACCGAAUGGAAACAA